GCCAGGCACAGUAGUGCAUGCCUGUAGUCCCAGCUACUUGUGAGGCUGAGGUGGGAGGAUUGCUUGAGCCCAGGAGUUCUGGGCUGUAGUGCGCUAUGCCAAUUGGGUAUCCACACUAAGUUUAGCAUCAAUAUGGUAAUCUCCUGGGAGCGGGAAACCACAAGGUUGCCUAAGGAGGGGUGAACCGGCCCAGGUUGGAAACGGAGCAGGUCAAAACUCCCGUGCUGAUCAGUAGUGGGAUCAUGCCUGUGAAUAGCCACUGCAUUCCAGCCUGGGCAACAUAGAGAGGACCCAACACU
rnacentral:SRP_RNA from 1 species